rnacentral:rRNA from 1 species
UACAGAGGUCCCAAGCGUUUGUUCGGAUUCACUGGGCGUAAAGGGUGCGUAGGCGGGUCUUUUAAGUCAGGGGUGAAAUCCUGGAGCUCAACUCCAGAACUGCCUUUGAUACUGAAGAUCUUGAGUUCGGGAGAGGUGAGUGGAACUGCGAGUGUAGAGGUGAAAUUCGUAGAUAUUCGCAAGAACACCUAUGGCGAAGGCGGUUCUCUGGGCCUUACCUGACGCUGAGGAGCGAAAGCGUGGGGAGCAAACAGG